UUUUGUUUGGUGCUAAUAUCGCUGUGGAAACACCUGGAACCAUCCCGAACCCAGCAGUUAAGCACAGUGGAGCUAAAUGUAGGUAGUAAUACUGAGAAUAGGUAAGCACCAAGCAAAA
rnacentral:rRNA from 16 species